UACAGAGGUCCCGAGCGUUGUUCGGAUUCACUGGGCGUAAAGGGUGCGUAGGCGGUCGGGUAAGUCUGAUGUGAAAUCUCACAGCUUAACUGUGAAACUGCAUUGGAUACUAUUCGGCUUGAGAGUUGGAGGGGGGACUGGAAUUCUUGGUGUAGCAGUGAAAUUCGUAGAUAUCAGGAGGAACACCGGUGGCGAAAGCGGCUCACUGGCCCGAUAUUGACGCUCAUGUACGAAAGCGUGGGGAGCAAACAGG
rnacentral:rRNA from 1 species